AAAUGAAUGAAUUUCAAGACAGAGAAUACCUACGAAUCGGUGACCAAUAAGCAGGAUAAUAUUGACAAUGUAAAAAACAAUCGAACGAUUUUAAUAAAUUGAUCAUCAGCAAAAAUAUACCUUGUGUU